AUUGAACGCUGGCGGCAGGCCUAACACAUGCAAGUCGAGCGCGAAAGUUCUUCGGAAUGAGUAAAGCGGCGGACGGGUGAGUAAUACAUGGGAAUCUGCCUGGUAGUGGGGGACAACGUUUCGAAAGGAACGCUAAUACCGCAUACGCCCUACGGGGAAAGGGGGGAUCUUCGGACCUCUCGCUAUCAGAUGAGCCCAUG
rnacentral:rRNA from 1 species